ensembl:snoRNA
GAUGCUUUAUUAUUAUUAUUUUUUGAGUUGGAGUCUCACUCUGUCGCCCAGACUAGAGUGCAGU